AGAUUGAACGCUGGCGGCAGGCCUAACACAUGCAAGUCGAGCGGUAGAGAGGUGCUUGCAUCUCUUGAGAGCGGCGGACGGGUGAGUAAUGCCUAGGAAUCUGCCUAGUGGUGGGGGAUAACGUUCGGAAACGGACGCUAAUACCGCAUACGUCCUACGGGAGAAAGCGGGGGACCUU
rnacentral:rRNA from 1 species